CCCAGCUACAUGGGGGUUGAGUCAUUGCCAUCAACACGGCCACUGAGGGGGCCCACUCCUCCUUUGUGACCUCACAAAGGAGUGUAAUACAAGUGGAUCUUGUGGGAAGUUUGGACCCCUUGUUCCUGCAACUUGUUCCUUCAGGGCCUGUUCCAGUUCUAUAGUCUUCGUUCAUUUUCUACUAUCCUAACACUCAUGAUGAUUUACAAGCAAUAUGAGCUUAUCUGGCUUACAUCUGUGGAGGCUGCAAAGUCAUAGAGGAAGGCAUCUGCCUCUAGUGAGCACCUUCUCACGAGAGGCAGUGAGUGAUCAAAGAAGAAAGAGGGAACAUGUCAUGUCAUACUACUCUUGAUAAACCCCAUUUCCAGCCUGGGAACUGAGUGCUAAUGAUCUUAUGAAAUUAUGACUUUCUUUAGGACAACAACAAGGACCCAUAUUGUGCACAUUUGAAGAUUAAGUCCUAAUAUAUGACCAGUACAUUAUCUUCUGAAUUGAAAGAGUCAUCUUGGAAAUGACCUUCAAACACAUAUGACAAGGGUCUUCUACCAAUAAAGGACAAGAUGAAAAUUUCCUUUUUGAUACUGAAAAUUGAUUUUAAAAUACUUUUAUUGAUUCUUUGA